rfam:Neurospora crassa OR74A unplaced genomic scaffold supercont12.9, whole genome shotgun sequence.
UACCUAAUUGAUUUUACUAGUAGUUAUAUACUUAUCUCAAAGAUUAAGCUAUAUAUAUUUAAAUUUAAGUAAUUAAACCGCGAAACUACAAAUAGCUUAUUAAAUUAAUUAUAGUUUAUUUAAUAGUACUUUACUAUAUAAAUAACCGUAGUAAUUUUAAAGCUAAUAUAUAUUAAAAACCCUAAUUUUGGAAAGGGUAUAUUUAUUAAAUUAAAAACCAAUACCCUUCGGGGCUAAUUAAUAAUUUAUAAUAAUUUCUCGAAUCGUAUAGCCUUAUACUAGCGAUAGUUUAUUCAAAUUUCUACCCUAUUAACUUUCGACGGCUAGGUCUUAGCUAACUAUAGUAAUAAUAAGUAAUAGAGGGUUAGGGCUCGACCCUAGAGAAGGAGCCUAAGAAACAGCUACUAUAUUUAAAGAAGGUAGUAAGCGCGUAAAUUACCUAAUUCCAAUAUAGGGAGGUAGUAAUAAUAAAUAUUAAUAUAAGGCUCUUUUAGGUCUUGUAAUUAGAAUAAAUAUAAUUUAAAUCCUUUAACGAAGAAUAAUUGGAGGGUAAGUCUAGUACUAGUAACUGUAGUAAUUCUAAUUCUAAUAGCGUAUAUUAAAGUUAUUAAAAUUAAAAAGCUUGUAAUUGAACUUUAGGCUCGGCCCGUUGGUCCGCCUUACCGCGUAUAUUAAUUAAAUCGGGCCUUUUUUCUUAGAGAACCGUAUACCCUUUACUAGGUAUAUUAGGGAACCAGGACUUUUACUAUAAAUAAAUUAAAUCGCUUAAAGAAAGCCUAUAUUCGAAUAUAUUAGUAUAGAAUAAUAGAAUAGGACGUAUAGUUCUAUUUUAUUAAUUUCUAGGACCGCCGUAAUAAUUAAUAGGGAUAAUCGGGGGUAUUAAUAUUUAAUUAUUAGAAGUAAAAUUCUUAGAUUUAUUAAAGAUUAAUUAUUAUAAAAGUAUUUACUAAGGAUAUUUUUAUUAAUUAAGAACGAAAGUUAGGGGAUCGAAGAUAAUUAAAUACUAUUAUAGUUUUAACUAUAAAUUAUACCAAUUAAGGAUUGGAUAGUGUUAUUUUUUAACCUAUUCGGCACUUUACAAUAAAUUAAAAUAUUUGGGCUCCUGGGGGAAUAUAGUUACAAAGCUAAAAUUUAAAGAAAUUAAUAGAAGGGCACUACUAAGGGUAGAGCCUAUAAUUUAAUUUAAUUUAAUAUAGAGAAACUUACUAAGUUUAAAUAUAAUAAGGAUUAAUAAAUUGAGAGCUCUUUCUUAAUUUCGUAAGUAGUAGUAUAUAGCUAUUCUUAGUUAGUAGAGUAAUUUAUCUAUUUAAUUAUAAUAAUAAACGAAACUUUAAUUUACUAAAUAGCCUAUAUUACUUUAAUAGUAUAUUAGCUUUUUAGAGGGACUAUCGGUUUAAGCCGAUAGAAAUUUAAAGUAAUAAUAAGUUUAUAAUACCCUUAAAUAUUCUAGGCCGUACGCGCGCUAUAUUAAUAUAAUUAGCGAGUAUUCCCUUAGCUGGAAGGUUUAGGUAAUUUUAUUAAAUUAUAUUGUACUAGGGAUAGAGUAUUAUAAUUAUUACUCUUCAAUAAGGAAUCCCUAGUAAAUGUAAAUUAUUAAUUUAUAUUAAUUACAUUCCUGCCCUUUAUAUAUACCGCCCGUUGCUACUACCGAUUGAAUAGUUUAGUAAAGCUUCUAGACUAGCCUAGGGAAGUCGGUAACGACUACCCAAAGCUAGAAAAUUAUUUAAAUUCAGUUAUUUAGAGGAAGUAAAAGUUAUAAUAAAGUUUCUAUUGGUAAAUUAGUAGAGAGAUUAUUA